rnacentral:misc_RNA from 1 species
AAGUCGUAACAAGGUCUCCGUUGGUGAACCAGCGGAGGGAUCAUUACAGAGUUAUCUAAACUCCCAAACCCAUGUGAACAUACCUCGCGUUGCCUCGGCAGGUGGCGUCCUACCCCGUGAUACCUACCCUGUAGGACCUACCCGGUAGGCGACCCUGCCGACGGCCCCCGAAACUCUGUUUUUCAUAGCAUUGGACUUCUGAAAGAUAACUAAAUAAGUUAAAA